AUUGAACGCUGGCGGCAUGCCUUACACAUGCAAGUCGAACGGUAACAGGUUAAGCUGACGAGUGGCGAACGGGUGAGUAAUGUAUCGGAACGUGCCCGGUCGUGGGGGAUAACUACUCGAAAGAGUGGCUAAUACCGCAUACGACCUGAGGGUGAAAGCGGGGGACCGUAAGGCCUCGCGCGAUUGGAGCGGCCGAUAUCAGAUUAGCUAGUUGGUGGGGUAAAAGCCCACCAAGGCGACGAUCUGUAGCUGGUCUGAGAGGACGACCAGCCACACUGGGACUGAGACACGGCCCAGACUCCUACGGGAGGCAGCAGUGGGGAAUUUUGGACAAUGGACGCAAGUCUGAUCCAGCCAUGCCGCGUGCGGGAAGAAGGCCUUCGGGUUGUAAACCGCUUUUGUCAGGGAAGAAACGAGUUUCUCUAAUACAGAGACUUAAUGACGGUACCUGAAGAAUAAGCACCGGCUAACUACGUGCCAGCAGCCGCAGUAAUAC
rnacentral:rRNA from 1 species